GUUCCGUCGUCGUCGGCGGGUUGAUGAUGCUCGUCGUCGGCGACGUCGGUUCCGGGCUCGUCGGCUGCGGUGAUGUCGGUUCCGCUGUCGUCGGCGGAACG
rnacentral:tRNA from 1 species